rnacentral:rRNA from 1 species
UACGUAGGGGGCAAGCGUUGUCCGGAUUUAUUGGGCGUAAAGAGCUCGUAGGUGGUUCGGUAAGUCGGAUGUGAAAUCUCCAGGCUCAACCUGGAGGGGUCAUUCGAUACUGCCGUGACUAGAGGUCGGUAGGGGAGUGUGGAAUUCCUGGUGGAGCGGUGAAAUGCGCAGAUAUCUGGAGGAAUACCGGUGGCGAAGGCGGCAUCCUGGACCGACAUUGACGCUGAGGAGCGAAGCUAGGGAGCAACGGG